GGGGCUGAUUCUGGAUUCGACGGGAUUUGCGAAACCCAAGGUGCAUGCCGAGGGGCGGUUGGCCUCGUAAAAAACCGCAAAAAAAUAGUCGCAAACGACGAAACCUACGCUUUAGCAGCUUAAUAACCUGCUUAGAGCCCUCUCUCCCUAGCCUCCGCUCUUAGGACGGGGAUCAAGAGAGGUCAAACCCAAAAGAGAUCGCGCGGAUGCCCUGCCUGGGGUUGAAGCGUUAAAACGAAUCAGGCUAGUCUGGUAGUGGCGUGUCCGUCCGCAGGUGCCAGGCGAAUGUAAAGACUGACUAAGCAUGUAGUACCGAGGAUGUAGGAAUUUCGGACGCGGGUUCAACUCCCGCCAGCUCCACCA
rnacentral:tmRNA from 1 species